GGCCAAUGGCAGGGCAGGGGCGGGGCUGAGUGGGAGGGUCUAAGCCAAUACGGGGCGUGACCUGGGAGCCCGCGCCAUGGCGGAGCAGGUUGGCCCUGCCCCACCCCCCAUCUACGUGGGGGGCAGCAGUAGCAGUGACAGCGAGGAGGAGCUUGUGAGACCCCCAAGGGGGGCAGUGGGGCAGCCGCGCCCCAAGCGCCGGCGUGUUCUGUGCAGCACCGAGGUCCCCGCUGUGCCUGUCUACUCGAACAAGGUGAACAGCAGCUUCCAGCUGUGCCCUGCGGAGCUGCACCCGGAGGUGCCCACCCUGCAGUGGCAGGGAGGGGCAGAUCUGGACGUGGAUGAGAUUGGCCCUGUCACGCCCCCCCGGCCGGAGCGGCCUCAUGCCCCACGCCUCCCCCAGGGCCCCUGCACUGACUGGCUGGAGGAGGAGCCGCAGCAGCAGCAGGGGGUAGUGAGAACAGUCCGGGACGAGUCCCCCUCUCCCCCACCACAGCCCACACGCAGACAGAGGGGCCGGACCCGCCGGGAGGUGGCACGCCAGCUGCGGGGUCUCCGCACGUGGCUCUCGGCCGCCCAGCGCAGCCUGCGGGAGGAGCCGCCCGAGGAUGACGUGAUCCUGGUGGAGCCGCCCCCAUGCCCCGUGCCCCGGCAGCUGCAGCUCAAGGUGCGGUGCCGGGCCGAGAUCCACCGUGUCGCCGUGGAGAUGUCACAGCCCCUGCAUGCAGUGGUGGAGCACAUGGCCGGGAGGCUGCAGGUCCGGCCAGAGCAGAUCCUGCUGCUGCUGCGAGACGUCGAACUGCCCCCCAGCAGCACCCCCCAGGGCCUGGGCCUGGGCGUGGCCGACAUCAUCGGGUCGGCCACUUGGCCUCACCACCUGCUUGGACUGGACCUCUGGGCUGCAGCCUCCUGCUUCCCCCGUGAGCUCUGCCCAGCGAGUCCCGCUGAGCCAGACCCUGGCAGAGACGCGCCCACGCUGCCGGGACGGUGCCCUCACCCAGCGUGGCAGGGACAGUCCCUCAACACUGGCGCACAGUCAGGUGUGUUAGUCAGCUGGGCAAGGCACAGGGAGCCCUUAGGGUCGCGCAGAGGGGUGCAGGUUACAGCCCAGUCCAUUCUGCUCAGCCCAGAGCCCCGCCAGGCUGUGGGGAAACCCUUGGGUCAGGUUCUGUCUAUCGCUCACUCGCUCUCUGACUUCCUUCCUGAGUCUGUUCCCGGGUGAGAGCCCCCAGCGCCCACACUGCUCCCCCCACCUUGCCCCUCCCAGGCCCUGGUUCUCCAGCCGGGGUCUGUGCCCAGCUUCCCGCUGGGAGCGUGGAGCCAGGAGUCAAGAGCGCAGCCAGCCGCGCUCUCUGGCCCCCUUGCUGACCUGGGGCAGUUUCAGCCAGUUCCUUAAUGACUGUUCGUUCCACCAGCCAGGGCGGUGAUGCACGUACCUGUGUCUUAGGCUGCCCUGAGAGCAAACUUAGUCCUUCCCCCCCGCACUGAGUAGCUGUGCAAAGUAUAGGGGAAACUGAGGCAGGCGUGAGACUCCCACAGAUGCUACAGAAAAUUCCCCCUUCGUCACAGGGAUCAGUUAUUCUCCGUGUUCACUGGAGGUAGGUGUCACGGAGUCCCUGGGCGAUGCUCUGGAACUGCUCCCCAUGAAGUCAGUCAGGACUCUGGGGUAGUCGCCUUUCUGUGAGCAGCCUGUCUUCAGGACACACAGCUCACACAGCUUCCACCUUCCUGGGUCUGACCUCAGAGCAUUCAGCAUCCUCUGCCCCUCCGUGCGCUUUCCCCCAGCGAGUCCGCACAGGCGGGGCUCCUGGGGAAGCCAGAGGGUCCUGCACCCCAACUUCGCAGUCAGACGUGACUCUCAGCCAGCCAGUAAAACAGAAGGUUUAUUAGACGACAGGAACAUGGUCUAAAACAGAGCUUGCAGGUGCAGAGAACGGGACCCCUCAGCUGGGUCCAUUCUGGGGGGCAGUGAGCCAGACAACCACGUCUGCACCUCACUCCAUGUCCCAGCCAGCCCCAAACUGAAAACCCCCUCCAGCCCCUCCUCCUCAGGGCUUUGUUCCUUUCCCGGGCCAGGUGGUCACCUGAUUCCUUUGUUCUCCAACCCUUCAGCUCUCACCUUGCAGGGGGGAAGGGCCCAGGCCAUCAGUUGCCAGGAAACAGGGUGUCGGCCAUUCUCUGUGUCCAGACCCCUGCACACACCUGCCCUCUAGGGCUCUGCAAUGAUCAUACACCCUUACCCCACCACCUAGAUACUUAAGAACUGCAUGGGGAAACUGAGGCACCCCCACACUAUUCAGAGGAAACAUUAAGAACAGUCCCACUUCAUCACAUCUCCCCCCCCUUCGAGAUCGAACUGAGCGGGGUCACUUUAGCCGGUGACCUGGGGAAGUUCGAAGCCACCAACGUUCCCAUGGAUGCCCCAGCAUCUCUCCCAUUCCUUGGUAGGAGUUACACCAGGCCCUUCCAGUUUCACACCCUCCCUUAGGUCAGGGGUGGUCGAUAGCACUCGCAGGCCGCAUGUGGGAAGGUUUAUGCAGCCCAUGCCCCUUGGCCACCCCAAGAAUGUCUCCCCAUUGACCAUCACCUUCUGCUCCCACUGGAGGUCCGAGGGGCCUGGCCCCAGGAAACUCCACACAGUCAUAUAGGUUGGGGUCAGGAGUGGGAGCCUGUCCACAUCCCCAACCAUCUGGCUGACGGAGUCUAUGGCCUUGGGACCCAGCAAGGGAGCUAGACACCGGGGCUUUUCCGCAGGGUCCCCCUGGUUCAAAUCGCCAGCCUGCUCAAAGGCAGUGAGGUGGCAUCCACACCCCCCCUCCUUAACCAGGGGCAGCAAUUUAGUCUCGAGGUUCCCUGCGGAACUGGCCCCCCGGGAUCUAUCCCCACUCACCCUGGGAGGUCCCCUAGGCCUCUCCGCCCCACCACCGCCAGUUCAUGCUGCUGCUGCUUCUGCAGCUCUUUCUCGGGCUCUCGCUGUCUCCCACGGUCCUCUUGCUCUCUCGGACUCAGCUCCAAUCCCGUCC